rnacentral:lncRNA from 1 species
GGAGUAUAAAACACUACACAGGCAUUAACAGCAUGAACUACUGCCUUCUUGCCUGUCGUUUGCAUUAAAAAUGGAGCAGUUUCAGAAAGGGCAUCCGUGCUCGAGACACCCUCCACAAGAGCAUCGAGAAAGCCAUCCGGGAGAAGCCGCUGUGCCUGCAGGGGAAGGAUUAUGCCGACGCGCUGGACGUGCUGAUGGACAGUGCCAAGGAGAACGGCACGGAGCUCAGCAUGCAGGAGCUCAAGUCCCAGAGAUGUUGAUUGUGGUUCCAGUUGCUGAUAUGCCUGUUAAGGUCAAAUCAUUGCUGAAUCAGAAUCCAGGGGAUUUACGGAUCUCUUUUUGGGGUCAAGAGACUAAAAGAAAGACCAUCUCUGGCAUAGGUGGGUAUUUUAUGUCCAAAGAGUUAAAACCCUCACCAGGACUUUUAACUCACAGGGUUCUGGUUUGAAAAGUAAAAAUCCUCUCCUGGAUUUUGUUAGGGCCACAAUCAGAAUUGAUUUUGAGGUCUGUUUACACUACUUAAUGUAGAUGGAGAUCAUUUAGAUGGGGCAGAGGUGGCCUAGCGGUCAAGGAAGCGGCCCCGUAAUCCCGAAUCUCCAAGGUGCCACAGAGCAAAGCACCGUCCCCACACACUGCUCCCCAGGUGCCCGUCAUGGCUGCCCACUGCUCACCGAGGGUGAUGGUUAAAAGCAGAGAACACGUUUCAUUGUGUCACUGUGUGCUGUGCUGCACUUUCACCAUCAUUUAAAUAAACUGAGUUGGCUUAAAAUCUGUUCGGGUUUA